rnacentral:tRNA from 1 species
AAGAUUCUAGUAAAAUAUUAUUACACUACUUUGUCAGAGUAGAAUUGUGAGUUUAAACCUCACGUAUCUUA